ACAGAGGCGGCAAGCGUUGUUCGGAAUUAUUGGGCGUAAAGAGCAUGUAGGCGGCUAUGUAAGUCGGUUGUGAAAGCCUUCCGCUUAACCGGGAGAGGACGUGCGAGACUGUGGUUCUGGAGGCAGGCAGAGGCAGGUGGAAUUCCGGGUGUAGUGGUGAAAUGCGUAGAGAUCCGGAGGAACACCAGAGGCGAAGGCGACACCCUGGGCCGUACCUGACGCUAAGACGCGACGGCACGGGGAGCGAACGG
rnacentral:rRNA from 1 species